AGAGUUUGAUCAUGGCUCAGGAUGAACGCUGGCGGCGUGCCUAAUACAUGCAAGUCGAACGGAGAUUGUAGCAAUACAUUCUUAGUGGCGAACGGGUGAGUAACGCGUUGGUAACCUGCCCCAAAGAGAGGGAUAACAAUUCGAAAGAGUUGCUAAUACCCCAUGUGAUCAUUAGCAUUAGAUGGCUGAUGAUUAAACGGAUUUAUUCGCUUUGGGAGGGGCCUGCGUCCCAUCAGCUAGUUGGUAGGGUAAUGGCCUACCAAGGCUAUGACGGGUAGGGGACCUGAGAGGGUGACCCCCCACACUGGCACUGAAACACGGGCCAGACACCUACGGGUGGCAGCAGUAGGGAAUAUUGGUAAUCUGGGAAACCGGGAACCAGCAACGCCGCGUGUGCGAUGAAGGCCUUCGGGUUGUAAAGCACUUUUUGAGGGGAUGAAAAAGGACAGUACCCUCAGAAUAAGUCUCGGCUAACUACGUGCCAGCAGCCGCGGUAAGACGUAGGAGACGAGCGUUAUUCGGAUUUACUGGGCGUAAAGCGCGUGCAGGCGGUUUGGUAAGUUGGAUGUGAAAGCUCCCGGCUCAACUGGGAGAGGUCGUUCAAAACUGCCAGACUAGAGAAUAGGAGAGGGAGGUGGAAUUCCGGGUGUAGUGGUGAAAUGCGUAGAUAUCCGGAGGAACACCAGUGGCGAAGGCGACCUCCUGGCCUAUUUCUGACGCUCAGACGCGAAAGCUAGGGUAGCAAACGGGAUUAGAGACCCCGGUAGUCCUAGCCGUAAACGAUGUAGACUUGGCGUUGGUGGGGUAAAAUCCAUCAGUGCCGAAGCAAACGCGAUAAGUCUACCGCCUGGGGACUACGGCCGCAAGGUUAAAACUCAAAGGAAUUGACGG
rnacentral:rRNA from 1 species